UAUUACUUUGUGUCUCUUAGUCAACCUGAUCUGGUCUAUGUUCGUGGGGAGGGCAUCAUGGGCAUGUCCACACCAGUGUCCACAGCAAUGUCCACCCCAUGGCCACCCCAUGCCCACUCCCCCCGCACUCGCCCAUGCUCGUCGCACAGACCAAAGCAGGCACUCCCGCACCCACUCCCUCAUAUCGAGGGGCACCAUCCAGCACCCCUCCCCCACUAAUGAUCCUUCCGCAGGUUCACCUACGGAAA
rnacentral:misc_RNA from 1 species